rnacentral:lncRNA from 1 species
CUUGCGUAUGACUCUGCCACUACCGCACGAACGCCGGCUGCACCUAGAGCAACAGGAGCGUGCUCUCUUGAUGAACCACACCCGAAAUUGUCCCCCGCGAUGAUGAUUGGGUAGAGAGUUGUAGAAGAUCCUGGGUUGACGAAUGGGAUCGGAUAAAGAGAGGUAGAGAGACCAAUUAGGGCUAGGGAUCCAAGCUUUUGGUACUCGUCAGGUUUUGAUGGAACUAGGGUUAGGUGUUCGGCUGGAAUGAUCUGAUCAGUGUCAAUGUUGUCUCCAAGGACGUAGCACGCGCCGUGGAAUACGGAAAGAAGGGAAGUAUCAGAGUUUCCAUCGGAGGUUGCGGCGACGACUGGCAAAAGAUGGGAUUUACGCUGGACACAUCGAAUAGGAUUGAAGGAAAAGGCAGUUCGCGUUAGCAGUCUGUCGCUGACUACCGGCGAUCGGAAAUACUUAAUCGGCGGUUUAAGAUGGAUGCAUUGUAAAUAAGUGGUGGAGUUCCCUUUGCCCGAGGAUCGGAAUUCCAAGGGGAGCGUUGAGAAAGACUGUGUCGCCGCCGUUGCCAUGAUUUUGGUCCCUAUGUGGAAUAUGAGAAAGAAUAAUUACAGAUCUAAACAGCAUAGAACUAAAAUCACCUCCUUACAAUUUUUUUUACCCAAAUCAACCCUGAGAUUGAUAGUUAAUUACUGAUGUUACCAUCGGAAACGAAAUCAAAAUCAAUAGAGAAAUAAUGGAAUGAAGAUAACCGGAUGAUGAAGUCUGGAAGUCUGAUGCUCUGCUGGUCGGAAUGUUUCUGAUCGAUGGUA